GCUGAAGGGGCUCGGCGGAACCCCGGGAAGGGGAAGAGGAGCCCCGGGGGCAGCUCCGAUGCCACGGGGGUUGGGUUCCCGGCUGCGAGCGCUCCUCUUAGCCUGCCCGGGACGCUGGGGUGGCGGGGAGGCAGUUGGUGGGGUCUGCAGUGACGGCGUUGGGCGUUGAGGUGUUUCUGAAAGCCUCUCUGGAUCUUCGUGUGCCUAAGAGCUCUGUAAAUCCUUCUUCCCUCGUAGGUCUCUCAGCGGUGUAAUAGGGUUGACUCUCCUCGUCAUACCUGAGCCUAACCUUCUGAUCCGGGCUGCUCCCUUCAUGAGGUGUGGCUGCAGCUUUGGCUCGUCCCUGUAGGCUGCACUUUGCUUCAGGAGCGGUUACCCUUCCUGUCAGAGCAAUGCUUUUGGCCUGUCAGCUGCACGUUAUGAAUGCAAUUCUUGCCAUUUUGCUGCAGCAUUUUAAUGGGGCUUUCAGUGGUUUCGGGCACAGCGCUUGAGAACUUGUUUCUGUCAAGUUGUCUUUGUCUGUUUUAUUUUCUUUUGCUCUUUGUGUCUUGUUCUGCAUGUGCUUCUUCACCUUGCAGUUUUGUUCAGUGUCUCAAUGCGCAUGGCCUGAAUGUCUAAGUAACUAUUGGUGCCAGUGUGCUGGUCUUUUGUUGUUUUCUCUUGGGGGGUGGGGGUGGUGGUGUCAGUUUCUCACCCACUAAUACAGGAGGUAGAUUGCCGAUCAGUUUCAAAGAGCCUUUGCAGGGUAGAUUCUUGUUGACAAGUGCAAUAGUGGACUCCAUGCUGGUAGGACUUGAAAGCAGAAAAACAAUUACAGUCGUGUUCAAACAAGUGAUGCCUGAAUUCUCAAUAAAUAGUACAUAGAGUCAUAUAACAGAGCCUUUUUCAGAGCCUCUUAAGGAGAUUCUUGAAAAUGUGGUGCCAGUUUAUUUUACACUAUUUUGAAAGGCUAUCAAAUAGAAGCGACUAGCAUACAUUCUGUAUACCUCAACCCUGUAUACAUACCUUUGUAUGUAGCUUUACCAAUAAUGCUUAGGAUAAUAUAAUCUCUGAAUUCUGAUUCCUUUUACCUUAAAGCUGAUGUGAUAUUUUGUUGUAGCACAUCUGAGGAAGUAUGUGGAUUUUGUCCAUGCUGGAUUUGUACAAUGGACAUUAAAAUAGACUCUGCCACCUUUGCACAUUUUUAUCCAAAUCUUUAUUCCUACCAUUGCUAUAGUUAAGUUGAAGGACUCCUUCCGGUUUAUUUCUACCUGGAUAUAACAUCAACUGAAAGCUGAAUAUAGCUGGUGACACAUUCAUAUCUGUGAUGCUCACUCUGAUUUUGAGAUGCAUGCCUGGGUGGAAGUCUGAGUGCAGUUUAAGUACUUUUACAUUUCAUUACAUGCUCCUUCAGUGUUGUCUGCUUCUCUUAGAACACUGGACUUUUGGAACAGUUCUUUUAUAUUUCUUUCCAAGUGACAAAACUACUGCCAGAGGUUGAUGAUGAAUAUAUCUUGUCUAGACAAUGUUAUCUGUUUAUGUGGUGGCAGGCUGAUGUUCGGGAUGAUGAUAGCUACACAGACUUGUAGGUGCCAAAAUACAAUUACGCUAUAAUGUAUAUUUCUGGUCCAGAGGAACAAUUGAGUAGCAGUCUUAAUGGCAAUAACUGGCAUUCUCCAAAUUCUGUUUACAGAACUGCUAAGACAUCUAAGUACCAUGCGUAUCUGAGCAGUUGGCUUGAUUCCUCCUGGCUUCCUGAAAACCAACUUCCAGGAAGGCUUGCAACACCGAAUGGAAAAUGUUUGUGUAAAGGAAAAAAAGACAAGGAUCCUGGAUUCUCAGACAUAAGUAUGAGUAAUAAUAAAGCCUAGGAAUCUAAAUGCAUUGAAUGAUAAUAUAGACCUUCUGGGAAACAAAAGAAAACUGCUUCUGGCAGAAAUAGGUAAGUAAUGACAGAGGUUAGUAGCAGAGGGGGAAUGAAGUCAAAAACUUUGAGUGGUACACCUGACAACUCUUUUUGCAUGUUAUAUUUCUCUAAUUGAGAAGUUUCCCAAUGGUUUGUGCAAAGGCCUGUCAGUGUCUUUAGCAAUAUGUCUCUUCUAAGUCUGGCAGCAGAUUCUUUGUUGUGGUGUUAGGCUACUAUUCAGCAUGGACAGGACAGUGGUCAACAGGUAGUGUCUCUGCUGCAGCUGUGCCUUUUUCUCACACUUUCUUUUUCUCAGGAGUUUGCCCAAGGACUGAGUACCAUGUCCAGUUUCAGUUCUACGUACUCAGGCUGAAUAUGUGGACAUUGUUUUUCUGACUGUCCCCUGCAGUAGAAAAAGGGACUGAAAGGUGGCUAAAUUAAUAUUCAUGUUUCUGUGUGUUGGGCAGUGAUAGGCAGGCAUGUAGUGGCCUGCUUCUGCUAGUCAGAUGUGUUAUCUGCAGUAUACAGUCAUCAGUAACCUGUGAAAAACAGUGUAACUAAUUUAAGUUACUGUGUAUCAUGCUUCAUGAGCUGCUUCCUGUAGGUGUUUGAUCACAGGCCAUUGAAAGUCACAUGAAAGCUGUGAUACAACAGGUGUAGCUCAUUUUAAAAAGACACUCAUACUGAGUGAUAUAUAAAGUUUUUAGGUGUGAAGAGAUGAACACUUACAAUGAAGUAUUUAUUAGAAGACAUCAGCUGCUAUAAUAGUUGGUGAGAUUUAUAUUCAGAGUACCAUCUAGAUCAGCAAAGUGAAUUUGGAUGUUAGUGCUAUCUUUGUGAAUUACUGUGUAUGAGAGAGUAGGUAGGAACAGUGCUCAAUGAGGUUGAUUAAUUAAGCUAGGCUUCUUAUGAGGCAUGAAAGUUUGAAGUUUUGAAAUGGAAAAAUACCAAAGGCUUGGAAGUGGCUUUGUGAUUCUAGGCUGUUGCAGAUAAUUGAUGGACCAAACUAAUUUUAACUUUAAAUAGGAGAUACGAAAAUAGUUGUGGUUCAUUGCUAGUUAAUUCUUUUCCAUGCCAUCAAAAAAUAUCUUUUUCCACAAGGACAAAUAGCAAUGGCUGUGCUUUUAUGUUAAUAUUUCUGAAAAAUCUCUGAGGUGGUUUGUACCACCUAGACAUCAUUUAGUGAUUAUUCUAGAGGUUAUUUAGUGAUGUGACAAUGAGUCCUUAGCUACGUCAGACUGAAGAACUGAUUGGCAAAUAAGGUGUUGAUGCUGAUGCAAGAGCCUACUUUUAAUUUAAUCUUAAGAAUUAUUUGACUGUCAGUUAGAUUUGAGGACAAUAAACUGUAGGGAGAAGAAUAAGAACAAAUCUGCUUUCAUUAUUUUAAUUACAGCUGAAGUCUGCAUAGAAUGGCGAGAUAACAUUUUCCUAAAUUGAUAUGUACUUAUUGCUGAUUGUAGUUGGAUAUAUUUGAAAUGUGUUAUCUAGUACUGUGAGAAGGUUUUUGUUAGCUUGCAAAUAAAUGCAGUAUCAUAUCAACUGUUUUGAAGUUAUUUUGUGUCUCUUUAAGGUAUUUGAAUACUGUGAUUGUAGGCAGAAGAUAUUCAAAAUUCUGUGUACUGUUGCCAAAACUUGGUCUCAUAGUUCUUUCCAGUUGAAUUUUUCCUCAUGAAAUGUUUGCCAAAAUGAGCUGCUAGAAUUAAUUUAUCUUGAGGUGGGGUUUCAGGGAAGGCUGGAAUUGCAUUACUUUAAAUUUUGAUAUACUUUUAUGUUAAAUAUGCCUUAUGUUCUCUUAUGCAUUUUAUUUAUUGCUGAGCGUAGGACAGUAUGUAUUUAUUUUUUAAGUUUCUGAGGAACACAGACCUACAGUCAACUUCUUUGCACUAGGCUUACCCUUUUUUUUCAAAACUUUAACAACACUGUCCUGUGUUACAGUACUUGAGUUCAAUACGUGUGUAUAGAGAGAAAUAAACUGGAAAUCCUGUCUCUGAGGAUUGGAAUCCAGUGUAGUUUUAGAUGGAAAAUAAAAUAUUUUAGUAUACAUUUGCCAGUUAAGCUUUUAACAGGACUUUACAUGGGUGCAACUUCUGAAUUGGAAUUAAUGUAGAGUUUCUAAAUACUUUUCCAUGUGAUAUACAUGCCAUAGUUGACUUGAAUAUGGAUUUGUAAGCUGCUGAAGUGAAAAUCAGUAUCUGGGCAUGACUGACUAUAGAUUGAAGGGAAAUAGCAAAUAGUUUGAAAUGCUGGUUAUCUGUGAAGACUUCUGCUCUGUGAUGUGCGCUGCUGAUGGGUGUUUAAGUUUUUGUCCUGUUUCUGUCUGUUACGUGGGAAACUUUAAAUAGUUUGAUUUAUGCCUUUU